ACCACACCAGAUGCCUCUUGUCAGCUAAGAACAUGAAAGUAAGGCUACAGUUCACACAGACUCACCAAAACUGGACAAUAGAAGAUGGAAAAAUGUUGCCUGGUCUGAUGAGUCUCC